rnacentral:rRNA from 1 species
AGGAAAAUGAUAGACAGACAAUGGGCGAGAAGGUUCAUUGUCAAGAAGGAAACAACCUAGAUCAGAAGUUAAGGUUAUUAAGUAGGGCUAAGUGUUAAAGGGGGUUAUUUAAUAAAGACAGUGAGAAAGUAGGCUUGGAGCCAGCCAUCUUUAAAAGAUUACGUAAUAGUUCACUCAAUAAAUUAAUAAUUCUUAAAGAUUAUGGUGGCUUAAGUAAAUUGAUUACCGAAACUCUGAAUAUAAAAUAAUGGUAAAUUAUUUGAUGGUAUGGUAGCAGAACGUUUAGUAAUGGAUAAAAAUUAUGUUGCGAAAGCAUAUCUGAAGUGAUAAUGUGAAUAUGAGUAAAAAACAGUGUGAGAAUCAUUGCUCACGGCUUAAGGUUUCCAAUAAGAGGAUGUUCCGAAUUGGGUUAUACAGUUUUUAAGGUAAUUGUAUUAAUAAAAGAAAAAAUAGUAAGUAAAAGAAAUUAUUUUAUUAGACUGUACUAAAACUAACACAAGUGGGCUAUAAGUGAUGGUAUAAUUUAUCUUAAGGAAUUCGGCAAAAUAGCUUUGUAAGUUCGCAAGAAAAGGUGCUAAUUAUUUAAUUAGUAGAUAUGAUAAAUAAUUAGUCUCAGUAAAGAGGGGGUGUCGACUGUUUACCAAAAACAUAGCUUUCAGCAAAAAGCCUUUGGUUUGAAGUAUUGAAGGUGAGGCCUGCCCAAUGAUUGUAUCUAAAUCCAAAGAAUAAGAUAAGUUGUUUGGUUAAGGGCAAUUGAAUGGCCGCGGUAAAUCUGACCGUGAUAAUGUAGCGCAAUCAAUAGCCAAUUAAUUGUUGGCAAGUAUGAAUGGCGUCACGAAUGCCCUACUGUCUCAAGAUAAAAACCAAUGAAAUUGAAAUCGUAGUGAAGAUGCUAUGUUCAAAUUAUAAGACGAGAAGACCCCAUUGAGCUUUACUGGAGGCUUAUAUUGUUUUUUUAAAAUUAAUAUUUAGAUUAUGUGGGUAUAAUAAAAUUGAAUUUAUAUGAAAAACCACUUAUUAAUUAAAGAAAAAAACUAAUUAUAGAGGAGAGUAUAAGUUGGACAGUUUAGUUGGGGCGACUGCCUUCUAAAGAGUAACGAAGGUGUACAUAAGGUAAAUAAUAUAAUAGUAUAAAGUAAGAAGCCUGACAGUAAGAAGGAUUUUCAAGCUGACACAAAUAAAGAUAUUAAUUAAAUUUUGUGGGUUAUAAUGACCCGUUAGUUAAGAAUGGAAUUGCUAACGAUUAACGAAUAAAAGUUACCAUGGGGAUAACAGCGUAAUAUUGUUUGAGAGUUCUUAUCGAUGACAAUGUUUGCGACCUCGAUGUUGAAUUGUGAUAUCCUGGGGGUGUAGCCGUUCCCAAGGGUUGGACUGUUCGUCCAUUAAAAUCAUACAUGAUUUGAGUUCAGACCGGCGUAAGCCAGGUCGGUUUCUAUCUAUAAUUUGUUUAGGAAACAUAAGAUAUAACUAUAUUCUAGUACGAAAGGAUCGAAUGAUAGUUGUCCGCUGGUGUACCAAUUACAAAAAAUGUUGU